rnacentral:rRNA from 1 species
UGGGGAAUCAUGGUCAAUGGGCGAAAGCCUGAAACUGCGACGCCGCGUGAGUGAUGAAGGUCGUAAGAUCGUAAAACUCUUUUCAGGGAUCUUAAAGCCUGUCUGUCAACAACAGGCAGGUCUGGCUCUCCCUGGAAGAAGCCCCAGCCAACUACGUGCCAGCAGCUGCGGUAAUACGGAGGGUGCGAGUGUUAUUCGGAUUUACUGGGCGUAAAGAGCACGUAGGCGGAUAGGCAAGUCAGAUGUGAAAGCCCGGAGCUUAACUCCGGAACUGCAUUUGAUACUGCUUGUCUUGAGUGUGGUAGAGGGGGGUGGAAUUCCCGGUGUAGAGGUGAAAUUCGUAGAUAUCGGGAGGAACACCAGAGGCGAAGGCGACCCCCUGGGCCAUAACUGAUGCUGAGGUGCGAAAGCGUGGGGAGCAAACA